AUUGAACGCUGGCGGCAGGCCUAACACAUGCAAGUCGAACGAGUGGCGGACGGGUGAGUAAUGUCUGGGAAACUGCCCGUGGGCGGGGGAUAACUACUGGAAACGGUAGUUAAUACCGCAUACUAUCGGAUGUGCCCAGAUGGGAUUAGCUAGUCGGUGGGGUAACGGCUUACCUAGGCGACGAUCCCUAGCUGGUCUGAGAGGAUGACCGGCCACACUGGAACGGGGACACGGACCAGACGCCUGCGGGAGGCAGCAGUGGCGAAUAUUGCACAAUGGGGGCAAGCCUGACGCAGCCAUGCCGCGUGUAUGAAGAAGGCCUUGGGGUUGUAAAGUACGUUCAGCGAGGAGACGUUACUCGCAGAAGAAGCACCGGCUAACUCCGUGCCAGCAGCCGCGGUAAUAC
rnacentral:rRNA from 1 species